CCUACGGGGGGCAGCAGUGGGGAAUAUUGGACAAUGGGGGAAACCCUGAUCCAGCGACGCCGCGUGAGUGAAGAAGUAUUUCGGUACGUAAAGCUCUAUCAGCAGGAAAGAAAAUGACGGUACCUGACUAAGAAGCCCCGGCUAACUACGUGCCAGCAGCCGCGGUAAUACGUAGGGGGCAAGCGUUAUCCGGAUUUACUGGGUGUAAAGGGAGCGUAGACGGCAGCGCAAGUCUGAAGUGAAAGCCCGUGGCUUAACCGCGGAACGGCUUUGGAAACUGUGGAACUGGAGUGCUGGAGAGGCAA
rnacentral:rRNA from 1 species